AGGACGAACGCUGGCGGCGCGCCUAAAACAUGCAAGUCGAACGAGAAGCCCGGGCUUGCCCGGGUGGACAGUGGCGAACGGGUGAGUAACACGUGAGGAACCUGCCCCGAAGACCGGGACAACAUCGGGAAACCGUUGCUAAAUACCGGAUGCCCUCGAAGGAUCGCAUGGUCCAUCGAGGAAAUGGAUUCCGCUUCGGGAUGGCCUCGCGGCCUAUCAGCUUGUUGGUGAGGUAACGGCUCACCAAGGCUUCGACGGGUAGCUGGUCUGAGAGGAUGUCCAGCCACACUGGGACUGAGACACGGCCCAGACUCCUACGGGAGGCAGCAGUUAGGAAUCUUGCGCAAUGGACGAAAGUCUGACGCAGCGACGCCGCGUGCGGGAUGAAGGCCCUCGGGUUGUAAACCGCUUUCAGCAGGGACGAAAUUGACGGUACCUGACAGAAGAAGCCCCGGCAACUACGUGCCAGCAGCCGC
rnacentral:rRNA from 1 species